AGAGUUUGAUCCUGGCUCAGGAUGAACGCUAGCGGCAGGCUUAACACAUGCAAGUCGCGGGGCAGCGAGGGUAGCAAUACCUGUCGGCGACCGGCGGAAGGGUGCGUAACGCGUGAGCAACUUGCCCGUGGUUGGGGGAUAACCGGUGGAAACGCCGCCUAAUACCCCGUAACAAGCGGAAUCACAUGUUUCUGCUUUGAUAGUCGAAAGAUGUCCACGGAUAGGCUCGCGUCCGAUUAGCCAGUUGGCGGGGCAACGGCCCACCAAAGCUACGAUCGGUAGGGGAUCUGAGAGGAUGGCCCCCCACAUUGGGACUGAGACACGGCCCAAACUCCUACGGGAGGCAGCAGUGAGGAAUAUUGGUCAAUGGGCGGAAGCCUGAACCAGCCAUGCCGCGUGCGGGACGUAGGUCCUAUGGAUUGUGAACCGCUUUUGCAGUGGAGCAAUAAGGGUGUCGUGACACUCGAUGAGAGUACACUGCGAAUAAGCAUCGGCUAACUCCGUGCCAGCAGCCGCGGUAAUACGGAGGAUGCGAGCGUUAUCCGGAAUCAUUGGGUUUAAAGGGUGCGUAGGCGGCCUUUCAAGCCCGGGGUGAAAAUCUGGGGCCCAACCCCAGACCUGCCUCGGGAACUGGCUGGCUGGAGUACGCUUGCCGCGGGAGGAAUGAGUGGUGUAGCGGUGAAAUGCAUAGAUAUCACUCAGAACACCGAUUGCGAAGGCAUCCCGCGAAGGCGCGACUGACGCUGAGGCACGAAAGCGUGGGGAUCGAACAGGAUUAGAUACCCUGGUAGUCCACGCAGUAAACGAUGAUAGUUAGCCGUUGGGCCCGCAAGAGUGGUCAGUGGCCGAGCGAAAGCGAUAAGCUAUCCACCUGGGGAGUACGGCCGCAAGGCUGAAACUCAAAGGAAUUGACGGGGGCCCGCACAAGCGGAGGAACAUGUGGUUUAAUUCGAUGAUACGCGAGGAACCUUACCCGGGCUCGAACGGCAGAUGAAGGAAUCAGAGAUGUUUCCGCCCUUCGGGGCAUCUGUCGAGGUGCUGCAUGGUUGUCGUCAGCUCGUGCCGUGAGGUGUCGGCUUAAGUGCCAUAACGAGCGCAACCCUUGCGUCCAGUUGCCAGCGGGUAGAGCCGGGGACUCUGGACGGACUGCCACCGCAAGGUGUGAGGAGGGGGGGGAUGACGUCAAAUCAGCACGGCCCUUACGUCCGGGGCGGCACACGUGUUACAAUGGUGGCUACAGAGGGGUGCUACCCAGCGAUGGGGAGCUGAUCCGUUAAAAGCCGCCUCAGUUCGGAUCGGAGCCUGCAACCCGGCUCCGUGAAGCUGGAUUCGCUAGUAAUCGCGCAUCAGCCAUGGCGCGGUGAAUACGUUCCCGGGCCUUGUACACACCGCCCGUCAAGCCAUGGGAGUCUGGGGCGCCUGAAGUCCGUGACCGAAAGGAGCGGCCUAAGGCGAAACAGGUGACUGGGGCUAAGUCGUAACAAGGUAGC
rnacentral:rRNA from 1 species